GAGUGUUAACCGCUCUCAGCCGGGAAGAAGCGAAAAGGACGGUACCUCCAGAAGAAGUACCGGCUAAGUACGUGCCAGCAGCCGUGGUAAUACGUAGGGUACGAGCGUUGUCCGGAAUUAUUGGCGUAAAAAGCUCGUAGGUGGUUGGUCACGUCUGCUGUGGAACGCAACGCUUAACGUUGCGCGUGCAGUGGGUACGGGCUGACUAGAGUGCAGUAGGGGAGUCUGGAAUUCCUGGUGUAGCGGUGAAAUGCGCAGAUAUCAGGAGGAACACCGGUGGCGAAGGCGGGACUCUGGGCUGUAGCUGAUACUGAGGAGCGAAAGCAUGGGGAGCGAACAGGAUUAGAUACCCUGGUAGUCCAUGCCGUAAACGUUGGGCACUAGGUGUGGGGGACAUUCCACGUUCUCCGCUCCGUAGCUAACGCAUUAAGUGCCCCGCCUGGGGAGUACGGUCGCAAGGCUAAAACUCAAAGGAAUUGACGGGGGCCCGCACAAGCGGCGGAGCAUGCGGAUUAAUUCGAUGCAACGCGAAGAACCUUACCAAGGCUUGACAUACACUGGACCGUUCUGGAAACAGUUCUUCUCUUUGGAGCUGGUGUACAGGUGGUGCAUGGUUGUGGUCAGCUCGUGUCGUGAGAUGUUGGGUUAAGUCCCGCAACGAGCGCAACCCUCGUCCUAUGUGGCCAGCACGUGAUGGUGGGAACUCAUAGGAGACUGCCGGGGUCAACUCGGAGGAAGGUGGGGAUGACGUCAAAUCAUCAUGCCCUUUAUGUCUUGGGCUUCACGCAUGCUACAAUGGCUGGUACAGAGAGAGGCGAACCCGUGAGGGUAAGGGAAUCCCUUAAAGCCAGUGUCAGUUCGGAUCGUAGUCUGCAAUUUGACUACGGAAGUCGGAGUCGCUAGUAAUCGCAGUUCAGCAACGGGGCGGCUCGGCAUAAGGGCUUA
rnacentral:rRNA from 1 species